AUGCGAAAGGACAGUUGAAGACUGAGGAGAUUUCUCUCGAAGUCAUCUACGUCUUCUCUCCUUGCUGCCAUGGCUAGAGCCGACCCUCGCGCCUCUGCCAGGGCAGUGGGUCGGUGCUGCCCCAGCAGUCGCUAAUGGGGCCAUCCAUGGUGUGGCCAUGCGUGCAGCUGAUCUAUUAGUGUCUUGAUUGAUGACAUCUUAAAUAGAAGCUUUCAGGUCUUAAAUUCCAUUAACGGAAGCCCAUAGUCUUUCAUUGAUUAACUUCAUUUUCUUCUUUCCCGCUGUCCGAACAGAACAUUUUUUAAAGAUUUAUUUACUUUACAUCCUGCUCGGUUCCCCCUUCCAGAUCCCCUCCCCUCCCACAGUCCUUCCCCCACUCCCCCUUCCCUUCUCUGAGUCUGUGAGGCUGGCACUUCCUAUCCCACUGAGGCAGGACAAGGCAGCCCAGCUAAUAAAACAUAUCCCACAUAAAUGGAGCUGCUUUGGGGAUAGUAGCUCCCCUCCCCCUCCCGUUGUUGAAGACCCACAUGAAGACCAAGCCACACAUCAGCCACACAUGCUGGAGGAAGUGGGGUUAGGUCCAGCCCGUGUAUACUCUUUGGUUGGGGGUUCAGUCUCUGAGAGCCCCAAGGGUCCUGGUUAGUUGGUCUUCCUGUGGAGUUCCUAUCCCCUUCAGGACUGCAAUCUUUCCUCCUAUUCUUCCAUAAGAGGCCCCUCGCUCCAUCCACUAUUUGGCUGUGGGUGUCUGCUUCGGUUUGAAUCAUCUCCUGGGUGGAGCCUACAGAGUAUCCUUAUAAUAGUGUCAGGGUUUGGUGCUUGCCCAUGGAUGGGUCUCAAGUUGGGCCACCAGCAGGACAUUUUAUAGCUCGUUAAAGCUUCUGUGUGUGACUCAAGCAAGGUUGGGAAUUUCAGCAACAGCUGAAAAUUUCCCUCAGAGCUGUAACACUUUCACACAGCUCAAGAUAAAAUGAAUGGGGAGAACAGAACACAGCUUGUGAUAAAAAUGAAUUAGGAGGAGAGAGUGGUGUCUCUUAGAUAUAAUGUGAGGGAACAUGAUGCCACUGAUAAUCUGCUUGAAGAUGGUUAAAAAUGGCAAAUAUUGUGUAUAUUUGCUAGAAUAAACAUGAAUGAAACCUUUCUGUCCACUUGGCAGUGGUGAUGUGGCCUUGUACCUUAGGCCGUUUGAAACCAAGUGUUAAAUGUGAUUUAACCACUGGCUUUUCUUCAGUUUUUGGGCAAAAUUUGAACAGGAUUGGAAUGCCCGUGUCACCUUAUGAUAAUGUUUGCAUAAAUGAUCCUUCUGGUACAGUUACUCUUGUUUUUUACAGACAGAGUCAUAUCUACUACGAUGGGUGUCCACAAUGCACAAUGGUAAGGUAUUUUUGGGAAGUUAUAUUUCUUUAACACCAAAUAUGAGACUGAGGCAAGCGAAGUCUAAGUUUAGCACUUCCUUUAUGGGUACAACAGCUUCGGGUUUAAAGGGCGAAUAUAUUAGUUCAUCAUGUUGUGAUGUUACUUCAUGGCUUAAUGGCUGUGGUCUCUCUGGGAAAAGAAUGGUAUAAGACAGUGACCAUGCCAAUCCUCCAGUUAAAAAGAAAGCACUCAGCUGUGUUUCAGGCUUCUCACCUGUAAUUGCUGCACUGGACAGGCUGAGAGCAGCCUGAGCUACAAUGUGAUCCCUUUUCUCAAUAAGUAUAUGAGAGAAUUUCUUUUUAAGCUAGUGGCAUGACUUGCAUCUCGUUGUUGAAUGGAGAUAAUGAGGACUGAGAAGACUUUGCUACUUAGUGAACGCAGUAAAGGAGAAGAUUGGAAUCUAUAGACAAUAAAUGCACUUUUAUAAUCUAUGUGGCAUAGUCUUUAAUAAUGCAUUGCCAGGAGAACCUUGAGACUGCACAACUGAUUGGACUACAGAGUGCUUUUUACAGCACGGUAUGGAAAGGCUCAAGCAGUUACGUCUGGAUUGCAACUCAGAUGAUAUGGGUUUUCCAAGUGGCAAAGCAUUUGCUCGGAUCAGAAGCUGUCAGACAGGAGACGCCCCUCCUACCGCCACACUUCUGAGUCACUCCUGUAGAGUGUAAUUACAUAGUAUCGAGUGACAGCAAUGACUUGACUUCAUGGCUUAUUCUCCUCUCAGUGUGCCUAGAGCUUACCAUGGUGUUCUGUAAUGUGGUGUUUAUGCUAAUUACUACCAGCUUUGCCAUAGCAAACGCACCAGAGAGACUAACUCAUAUGUCUUAUGAUUCAAACCCUAUCACUAGUCCUGACCUUCUAGCUCAUUCCAGCCACGGCUCUGUGGCUCACAUCAGAGCUUUUCAUAGGAAGAGUGAUGAACCGCCUUCUUCACCAUAGCUGAAACAGACCUCUGCCCACUUCCCCUUUCCCUGGGUACAGAGAUCUGUCUCUCGAAUCUGGGUUCUCAGGAUGGACUCACCAAGCCUAGAAUCCCCCAGUCCUACUGGAUGCUUUCUUGUGUCUCCCGUAGAGUUCAUGUCCAUGUGCCGAUUGGGUUUCCAAAUACUUCUCUAUUUCAAAAUGAUUUCCAACUCCAAGGAAAAGUCAGACAUGGACAAAAAGAAGCAUUACUUCUAGUGAGACUAGAGAAAGGGAUCAAAACAUACUACGAAUGGAAUAAAGGAGGGCUGUCAACUUUAGAUUAUUUGAUGCAUGACAGUCUUUGCAAAUAUUAUAUAAAAUAGUCAUGCAACAAAUUUAAAGUUAUUUAAACACUAAUUUACUAUGAAUUAAAGCCUGCAUAAAAGAAAACAUUCUUACCUGUAUCAAAUAAAACUAUUGCCGUUUG
rnacentral:lncRNA from 1 species